rnacentral:pre_miRNA from 1 species
GGCUCAAAUUCGAAGUAGAAUAGAUUGGAAGGACCACGUGACCCUACUAAUCUGCUCUACUUCGAAUUUCGGCCC